UUUGAAAGACUAAAAAUUCAAGUGUAGAUAAGAUGCAGAGUUACUGGAACUCUCAUAUAAUGUUAGGGAAGUAAAUUGGUAAAACCACUUUGGAGACCUGGGAGUCUGCGAAAGCGGAAAGCAUGCAUACCCGCUGACCCAGCAAUUGCUGAGCAAUACCCAAGGGAAAUGUGUGCAUAUGUGCACCAAAAGAGAAGUCCAAGAUCGAUCACAGCAGCUCUGCUUGUAAAGUCCCAAACUGAAAAACCCCAAGGGUAGAUCACUAAUGGAGUCCAUAAAUUAAUUGUGGCAUAUUCACGCAGGGGAACCCGAGCUCAGGCAAGAGUGAAUAAGGUGUAGCUUCAUGCUUCAGCAACGAUGCAGCUCACACACAUAAUAUGGAAUGAAAGAGGCGAGACACAAGAAACUUCUACUGGACAGUGCUGGGGUCACUUGGAAAAGCAUUUAAAAUAGGUUCUAGAAGAGAUCGAAGAAGUCAUCAAGUCAAACACCCUCCUGUUGGAGGCGACGUGCCCAAGGAUGCUCCGCAGAUGUCGCUAGCCGUCACCUACGCCAGGCUCUCAGCCGGCAGCCUCCUCCACGUGCCUGCUUUGUAAGCAUUGCUGGCAGAAGCACCAGCUCUCCAAAAGGCUUCGCUUCAAGAACAAGCGCUUCUCACUGCUCCCCAAGGGAAGGCAGAAGGCAAGGGAGCAUGCGGAGAGCCCUAGACGGUUGUCAGGAAAUUCUUUAGCUGCGUGGAAGGUGCUGUGCUGGGGGUUUGUGCCCUCCAGGAACUGUUUGGAAAUGAUUUAUGGUUCAAGAUGGCGCCAGUCCUUCCUCAGCCCACCGCAGUAGACAAGGGAGGGACACAGCGAGAGCAGGAACACAAGCAGGGGGAGUGUG